rnacentral:lncRNA from 1 species
CUCCUCUUUCAUUUUGUCCUCUCUGUUUCGAUAAGGCAGAGGCGGAGCUCGAGCGGCAGAGCAGGAGGCGAUUUCUCCCCGUCCAUGGCGAUUUGGCGACCUUCCCCCGCCGGAGCUUGAUUUCUCUCCCCUUCCUCUUCGCUCCCCGGUUGUCGCGGUUGGUUGUUCCUCUCUCUCUCUCUCUCUCUCUCUCUCUCUCUCUCUCUCUCUCCGUCGCGCGCUUGUGUUGGUCUGCUCUUUUUCGUUUCAGAUCUAGGCCAGUUCAUGCCGACCUCUCGCUCAUCUGGUGCAGCCGCUGCUAGGUGUGAUUGGUAGGGUUUCUGAUUGUUGUGGUUCCCCUUUUGUCUGUGUAGUUGGAGCGUGCGGGUUUUCUGUAGGUGAGAGGGCGGCUUGUGGUUGUUUUGUUCCCCUUUUUGUCUGUUUAGAUGCAGCGUGUGGAUUUUCUGUAGAUGUUCGUGUAGGUGCUCAUGUUUCUAUAGGUGAGAGGCCGAUCUGUAGGUGCUCUUGUACCUGCUCAUGUUCAUGUAGUUGAGCGGGAUUUGUGUUCAUGUUGGUGCGGAUGCCGUAGGUGUACUGGUAGAUGAACGGGGUGCCGUAGGUGUACUUGUAGAUGCCGAGCUCAUGCUCCUGUUCAUGCUGCCAUGCCCCCUGAUGCUUCCUGAUCAUGCCCUUAUGCUAGUUGUUAAUGUUCCUGCUCUAGCUCUUUAUAUAUUCCAAUGAAAUUUGGCUCCUGGUGCUCCUUUUCAGUGUUGUCAAUUGUUUGGCCAGUCACUUUCAGUGUUGUUAUAGACAGUGUUGUCAUAGACAGUGUUGUAUUUUUGCUUCUAGGGGUGAUUUUUGAUUGUAAUUACAGUGUAAUUUUCCUAGAAUGUCACUGUAACUUUAUGUCUGUUUUACUGUGCAAUUCCAGUGUAAUUUUACCCAUUAGUUCCAGUGCAAUUUCAAUUGUAAGUAUAGUGUAAUUCCAGUGUCAGUGCUAUUUCCAGUGUAACUACAGUGUAGUUCCAGUGUAAUUUUUACCCAUUUUUUCCAGUGCUAUUUCCAGUGCAAUUUCAAUUGUAAUUACAGUGUAAUUCGAGUGUAUUUAAUUCCAGUGCUAUUUCCAGUGUAAUUCCACUGUAAUUUUUACCCAUUUUUUCCAGCGCUAUUUUCCAGUGCAAUUUCAAUUGUAAUUACAAUGUAAUUCCAGUGUGAUUUGAGUGAGACUUCUGCAGUAUUAUUUGAUUGUAUUUACAGUAUACUUUUCAGUGUAAUUUACCCAUUUAAUUCCAAUGUAAUUUCAAUGGAUUUUUACAGUGUAAUUUGAUUGUAGUUCCAGUGUAACUGUGGGUUUCACCAAAAUUAUUAAAUUCCAGUGUGGUUUCCGUUUACAGGUUUAAAAUGGGUAAAGCUAUGAAAAGUGUGUCAUCAGGAUGUUCCAUUAGUAUCAUCAUUAGAGAGUGCAGUUUCAGUUGGUGAAGCUUUUUUGCCUAAUGAUUUUGCAGAAGAUGGUUCUUAUCCUAUGUCUCCGGUAGUUACUUAUUUACGUUUAUCUUCUUUAUUGUUUUAUUUUUUAGUUUUUAGUUUUGAUUUAAUUUUGUUUGAUCUGUUUUAUUUCUUUUUUGUUUGCAGGAUCUAUCUCGAGACGAAGGAGGGUUCGACAAAGCUCUUUUGAAGUUCUAUCUCAAUCAAGUAUGUUCCAUUUUGUCUUUUAUGUUCUUUCUUUCUUUUCUUAUUUUGGCUUUUUCUUUAUUUUGUUUUUUGUCAUUUCAGAAAUGAAGUAAUUAAAAUGCACUGUAAUUUAGGAGGAAUUUACAGUGUACUUACUAUAAAUUUUGGACUGUAAUUUACUAUGUUCUUCCACUGUAAUUACUUCCUUUUGUUUGCAACUAUUUUUACUCUGGAAUUUAGGACGAAUUUACACUGUACCUACUGCGUUUUUUGCAGUGUAUAUGUUCUUGCAUUUGUAAUUAUUUCAUUUUAUUUGCAACUACUUUUACUCUGGAAUUUAGGAGAAAUUUACACUGUAAAUUUAGAGGAUACAAGACUAUUUACAUAGUGAAUUUAGAGGAAUUUACAGUGGAAUUUUUGUUGUGAUUCUGAUGUUGAUCUCUCCCAUAUGUUUCAGAGUAGAAUGAAGGAAAAUCUUGUGAAACUAUCAACGUAAGAGCAUAAGAGGUGAAAGAAGAGAUGAUGCAGAGGAGUUGCUGACCUGUGGAUAGCGUUUUUUGAUCUGUUGCGUGGUUUGUAUAGCGUUUUUUGAUCUGUUGCGUGGUUUGCAAGCUUCCAGGAAGUAAUGUUGUGGUCCCUGAAUAGGUGGAGGUUUUGUUUUGCUGGAGAAAGCAGGUUGGAUGGUUGUCCGACCCGUUAGCGUGUU